rnacentral:lncRNA from 1 species
AUGACAGAGCAUGGGAGGAGUCAUACCAGGCUGGCCCCAGGGCUCACUGACACAGAGAUGCUUAGCAGCUCAACCAGCUGUUCCAUGAGCUGUUUGCAUGUCCAGGUGAGUAUUCUGGGAAGCCUGGGGCUGGAGAAGACUCGUGUGGGAGGAGGCUCCAAGAAGCUGCCAGAGAGAAGGAACACAGACAGCCCUGCUUGCUCCCCAUGGUGGCCAAAGGAGCACAGCUUUCCAAGAGGCCCAGCCUUAGAGAACUCCCUCACCCACCAGUCUUCUUUGCCCCGAGGACCUGGACUGCAGCUCAUGUCUGCUACUCCUGUCAGGAAUGAGUUAGAACAGCCACUAUGUUUGGAUGGUGAAGAAACAGGUAUAAAGAAAGAACUGGCAGGCUCACAAAGAGGUAGUAGGUGGCCUAGAUUUCUUCCUUCGUCCAUCAGCAGAAGAAGAAAUCUUUAAGCAGCUCCAGAAGAAGCAAGGUGAGUGUUCUAUCCUCCUUGUUGUUCCCCUCCCAGGAGUUAUAGUGUUGUGCCAGAAUGCUGGGAACUCCAACAUGGCCAAUGAGAGAGGUGGGAGGAGGCUCUAAGUGGCUUAAACCAAUGUGGAUGCAGCCCAGACUCUGGCAUAGGACUGUUUAACCUAGAGCCUGGCUGUGGGGGCGCAUUGCUCCCCAUGUGAAGGUCAGGGGUCCUUUUGACCCACAGAAGGCAGACCAGCACAAAUGUCCACAGGAAAUGGUUUACAUGACCUGAUAUGUGGGUGUGGAGGAAAGGCAAUAAAGAAUUACAAUCUCUGGCA